GGGGUGUGUGCUGCGCUGGGACGCAGGUCCGGCCGUAAACCGGGCGCCACUUGGCUAGCGGGGUUCGAUUCCCUAACGCCCCA
rnacentral:tRNA from 2 species